rnacentral:rRNA from 1 species
AGAGUUUGAUUAUGGCUCAGGAUGAACGCUGGCGGCGUGCUUAACACAUGCAAGUCGAACGAGGCUUGGCAGCGGAAGUUUCGGAUGGAAGCAGCCAUGACUGAGUGGCGGACGGGUGAGUAACGCGUGGGGAACCUGCCCCAUUCCGGGGGAUACCAGUUGGAAACGACUGUUAAUACCGCAUAAGCGCACGGGAAGACAUCUUCCAGUGUGAAAAAACUGAGGUGGAAUGGGAUGGCCCCGCGUCUGAUUAGCCAGUUGGCAGGGUAACGGCCUACCAAAGCGACGAUCAGUAGCCGGCCUGAGAGGGCGACCGGCCACAUUGGGACUGAGACACGGCCCAAACUCCUACGGGAGGCAGCAGUGGGGAAUAUUGCACAAUGGGGGAAACCCUGAUGCAAGCGACGCCGCGUGAGUGAAGAAGUAUUUCGGUAUGUAAAGCUCUAUCAGCAGGGAAGAAGAUGACGGUACCUGCACAAGAAGCCCCGGCUAACUACGUGCCAGCCGCCGC